rnacentral:tRNA from 3 species
UGCCCCGUAGUGCAAUUGGUAGCACUGCCGAUUCUGGAUCGGCCGGUCUAGGUUCGAAUCCUGGCGGGGCAGCCA